CACACACACACACACACACACACACACACACACACACACAUAUUUGCAAGCCUUGGAGGUAAUGGGGUGCAGCUAUAAUACUCCUAGCUCAGGAGGUAGCAGGAACCUCUUCAGUACAAGGCCAAUCCUGGCAAAAACAAUGAGAGCCUAUAUCAA